GACGAACGCUGGCGGCGUGCUUAACACAUGCAAGUCGAACGGAAAGGCCUCUUUCGGGGGGUACUCGCGUGGCGAACGGGUGAGUAACACGUGAGUAACCUGCCCUUGACUUUGGGAUAACUUCAGGAAACUGGGGCUAAUACCCGAUAGGAGCUCCUGCUGCAUGGUGGGGGUUGGAGAGUUUCGGCGGUUGGGGAUGGACUCGCGGCUUAUCAGCUUGUUGGUGGGGUAGUGGCUUACCAAGGCUUUGACGGGUAGCCGGCCUGGGAGGGUGACCGGCCACAUUGGGACUGAGAUACGGCCCAGACGCCGACGGGAGGGAGCAGGGGGGAAUAUUGCACAAGGGGUGGAAGCCGGAUGCAGCAACGCCGUGGGCGGGAGGACGGCCUUCGGGUUGGAAACCGCUUUCGCUCAUGACGAAGCUGUGUGUGACGGUAGUGGGUAAAGAAGCACCGGCUAACUACGUG
rnacentral:rRNA from 1 species